CAGCCGCCACGGUAAAACGGAGGGUGCAAGCGUUAUCCGGAUUUAUUGGGUUUAAAGGGUCCGUAGGCGGACUUAUAAGUCAGUGGUGAAAGCCUGUCGCUUAACGAUAGAACUGCCAUUGAUACUGUAAGUCUUGAGUAUAUUUGAGGUAGCUGGAAUAAGUAGUGUAGCGGUGAAUUGCAUAGAUAUUACUUAGAACACCAAUUGCGAAGGCAGGUUACCAAGAUAUAACUGACGCUGAGGGACGAAAGCGUGGGUAGCGAACAGGAUUAGAUACCCCUGUAGUCCCUGUCUCUUAUAC
rnacentral:rRNA from 1 species